rnacentral:lncRNA from 1 species
CUCUUCCUUGUGAAGCAGCAAAUGCAACAUACCUAAAGGUGAAUAGAGUAUUUAUUUGUACUAUAAAUGUCAUAAGAAAAAGUUGACUAUAGGCUGGUUAUAGUUUACCCAUGAUUCAUCAUGUCAUUCUUAGGUGCAUAAACUAAGGUGUACAUAAUUUAUUUUGUGGAGGAAGAAUAUGGUAACUUAAACAGUAUUACAUGUGAUGCCAUGUCGCUGCGGGGAAGCAUUCACACACUCACGUUUGGCAUGUUCCAUGCAGCAGACCUGUCGUCAUUGGUUGAGGUAAGCAAUGUUUCUUGCUUUCUCAUAUAUUUGUUUUUAUUCACUAAGUUCGACUUUGUACUUGGGAAGUCAAAUCACUAUUUAUGUUCAAGGUUGUCAUGAAAAUUUCAAAAAUGGAAUGGAAUGAAUUAACA